CAGAGAAUAGUUUAAUUAAAAUAUUAAUUUUGGGGAUUGAUGAUGAAGGAUAUUCUUUUUCUCUGA
rnacentral:tRNA from 1 species